GAGAGAUAACACGGCAGACAGAUUUGGGUUCCACCAGAGGUGAAUCAAUGCAUGGAUGUCCCAACUAUUUCCAUCAGCAGCCCCGCUCCCUCCCCGCCGGCCUGUGGGGGUUAUCCUGGCCUAUUAGAUGCUGUAAUGUUAAAGUACCCAAUCCUGAUUGUGCUCCAGACAGGGCGAAAAGCCUCCGGAUUGCUCCAGCUGAUACCCUACAUUUCGGAUGACAGGGGCUUGGUGGUCCCUGCUCACUCAAUCAGAGACAUACUCCCCUAACGCUUAGAAGCCAUGGGGGACUGUUGGUUCGUCUGGAUCCUCGAGCUACUCACC